CGGGGUGAGUAACGCGUAGGUAACCUGCCCCAUACAGAGGGAUAGCCACUGGAAACGGUGAUUAAUACCUCAUGACACUUUCUCUUCGCAUGGAGGGAAGGUCAAAGAUUUAUCGGUAUGGGAUGGACCUGCGUCUGAUUAGCUUGUUGGUGGGGUAACGGCCUACCAAGGCGACGAUCAGUAGCCGACCUGAGAGGGUGAUCGGCCACAUUGGAACUGAGACACGGUCCAA
rnacentral:rRNA from 1 species